rnacentral:lncRNA from 1 species
AAAAAAAAAAUGAAAUAAAAAAAAAAAAAAUCAUUAAAAAACUUAAUUCUACAGUAACUUAUUUGAUUUGUGACAUGUUAAAUAUUUAGAUUGUCUGAUCACUCUAUAUAUAAACAUGAUCAUAGAAAAGAAGUUGCGGAAAUUGAAAAAGCCGGUUCAGAGUAUAGAAGACAUCUUUUAGGACAACCCGGUACAAAAGGAAAGCGUCUAUAGUUACCAGCAGUAAUUUAGACCCGAUCUAUUUCGCUUAACUUUUGAGAAUAUCUGUGCAAAGGAUUAUCAAUUUCGGUUGCAAUUCAAAAGGGUAUGUUGAUUAAUUUACUUAUCGAUUUAUCUAAACAGAAAUAUGCGGGGUCCGUACAGUAUAUUAGAAUACAUUAUGUCAUAUCUUCUCACGGUACAUGAAACUGAAAGUAUUUUCACGAUUUUAACUUGAAAAACUUAAUACUUGCAUGAAUCCGUAAGAAAAUCAAAAUAUACCAUAAAUAAAUCGGUAUGUUCACAAGAAAUGUGCUUUCACGGCAAUAAUUUUUAACAGUUCGUAAUAUAAAUAUUGCGUGGGUGAUGAAAAUGAAAAGAAAUCAUUUACGGAGUUUGAAAACUACUUGUUCUAGGAAUUUUUGAG